AGGAGCUUGCUCUUCUGGAUGAGUUGCGAACGGGUGAGUAACGCGUAGGUAACCUGCCUGGUAGUGGGGGAUAACUAUUGGAAACGAUAGCUAAUACCGCAUAAUAACAGUUGUUGCAUGACAACUGUUUGAAAGGUGCAAUUGCAUCACUACCAGAUGGACCUGCGUUGUAUUAGCUAGUUGGUGGGGUAACGGCUCACCAAGGCGACGAUACAUAGCCGACCUGAGAGGGUGAUCGGCCACACUGGGACUGAGACACGGCCCAGACUCCUACGGGAGGCAGCAGUAGGGAAUCUUCGGCAAUGGACGAAAGUCUGACCGAGCAACGCCGCGUGAGUGAAGAAGGUUUUCGGAUCGUAAAGCUCUGUUGUAAGAGAAGAACGAGUGUGAGAGUGGAAAGUUCACACUGUGACGGUAUCUUACCAGAAAGGGACGGCUAACUACGUGCCAGCAGCCGCGGUAAUACGUAGGUCCCGAGCGUUGUCCGGAUUUAUUGGGCGUAAAGCGAGCGCAGGCGGUUAGAUAAGUCUGAAGUUAAAGGCUGUGGCUUAACCAUAGUACGCUUUGGAAACUGUUUAACUUGAGUGCAAGAGGGGAGAGUGGAAUUCCAUGUGUAGCGGUGAAAUGCGUAGAUAUAUGGAGGAACACCGGUGGCGAAAGCGGCUCUCUGGCUU
rnacentral:rRNA from 1 species